rnacentral:rRNA from 1 species
AAGAAUAAGCACCGGCUAACUACGUGCCAGCAGCCGCGGUAAUACGUAGGGUGCAAGCGUUAAUCGGAAUUACUGGGCGUAAAGCGUGCGCAGGCGGUUUUGUAAGACAGUGGUGAAAUCCCCCGGGCUCAACCUGGGAACUGCCAUUGUGACUGCAAGGCUGGAGUGCGGCAGAGGGGGAUGGAAUUCCGCGUGUAGCAGUGAAAUGCGUAGAUAUGCGGAGGAACACCGAUGGCGAAGGCAAUCCCCUGGGCCUGCACUGACGCUCAUGCACGAAAGCGUGGGGAGCAAACAGGAUUAGAUACCCUGGUAGUCCACGCCCUAAACGAUGUCAACUGGUUGUUGGGAAUUUAUUUUCUCAGUAACGAAGCUAACGCGUGAAGUUGACCGCCUGGGGAGUACGGCCGCAAGGUUAAAAACUCAAAAGGAAUUGACGGGG